rnacentral:rRNA from 1 species
UACGAAGGGUGCAAGCGUUAUUCGGAAUUACUGGGCGUAAAGCGCACGUAGGCGGAUCGGAAAGUCAGAGGUGAAAUCCCGGGGCUCAACCCCGGAACGGCCUUUGAAACUCCCGGUCUUGAGGUCGAGAGAGGUGAGUGGAAUUCCGAGUGUAGAGGUGAAAUUCGUAGAUAUUCGGAGGAACACCAGUGGCGAAGGCGGCUCACUGGCUCGAUACUGACGCUGAGGUGCGAAAGUGUGGGGAGCAAACAGG